GACGAACGCUGGCGGCGUGCUUAACACAUGCAAGUCGAACGGAAAGGCCCUUCGGGGUACUCGAGUGGCGAACGGGUGAGUAACACGUGGGUGAACUGCCUCGUUCUCUGGGAUAAGCCUAGGAAACUGCGUCAAAUACCGGUUAGGACCAUUCAUUGCCAGGCGGGUGGUGGAAAGUUUUGCGGUACGAGAUGGGCCCGCGGCCUAUCAGCGUGUUGGUGGGGUAAUGGCCUACCAAGGCGACGACGGGUAGCCGGCCUGAGGGGGCGACCGGCCACACUGGGACUGAGACACGGCCCAGACUCCUACGGGAGGCAGCAGUGGGGAAUAUUGCACAAUGGGCGCAAGCCUGAUGCAGCGACGCCGCGUGAGGGAUGACGGCCUUCGGGUUGUAAACCUCUUUCACCAGGGGCGAAUUGAGACGGUACCUGGAGAAGAAGCACCGGCCAACUACGUGCCAGCAGCCGCCGUAAGAC
rnacentral:rRNA from 1 species